rfam:Schistosoma haematobium scaffold1327_4, whole genome shotgun sequence.
AUCUAGCUGACGAAUCCCAAAUAGGACGAAACGCGCGUCCUGGAU